ACUUCUACGGGAGGCAGCAGUGGGGAAUAUUGCACAAUGGGCGCAAGCCUGAUGCAGCCAUGCCGCGUGUGUGAAGAAGGCCUUCGGGUUGUAAAGCACUUUCAGUCGUGAGGAAGGUAGUGUAGUUAAUAGCUGCAUUAUUUGACGUUAGCGACAGAAGAAGCACCGGCUAACUCCGUGCCAGCAGCCGCGGUAAUACGGAGGGUGCGAGCGUUAAUCGGAAUUACUGGGCGUAAAGCGCAUGCAGGUGGUUUGUUAAGUCAGAUGUGAAAGCCCGGGGCUCAACCUCGGAAUUGCAUUUGAAACUGGCAGACUAGAGUACUGUAGAGGGGGGUAGAAUUUCAGGUGUAGCGGUGAAAUGCGUAGAGAUCUGAAGGAAUACCAGUGGCGAAGGCGGCCCCCCUGGACAAAGACUGACGCUCAGAUGCGAAAGCGUGGGGAGCAAACAGGAUUAGAUACCCUGGUAGCACA
rnacentral:rRNA from 1 species